CCCUUAGAUGUCCUGGGCCGCACGCGCGCUACACUGACGGAGCCAGCGAGUAUAAACCUUGGCCGAGAGGUCUGGGAAAUCUUGUGAAACUCCGUCGUGCUGGGGAUAGAGCAUUGUAAUUAUUGCUCUUCAACGAGGAAUUCCUAGUAAGCGCAAGUCAUCAGCUUGCGUUGAUUACGUCCCUGCCCUUUGUACACACCGCCCGUCGCUACUACCGAUUGAAUGGCUUAGUGAGGCUUCCGGAUUGGUUUAGAGAAGGGGGCAACUCCAUCUUGGAACCGAGAAGCUAGUCAAACUUGGUCAUUUAGAGGAAGUAAAAGUCGUAACA
rnacentral:rRNA from 1 species